ensembl:snRNA U2 U2 spliceosomal RNA
AUCGCUUCUUGGCCUUUUGGCUAAGAUCAAGUGUAGUAUCCCUGAGAUGAAAAGUGAGAUACAGAUGCCAGCUAUCAUCAUUCUAU